rnacentral:lncRNA from 1 species
AGUGGCAAAGCGUGGGAAGGAGGUCAAUUUUAAAUUCCAAAUCCCUACACCACGGCACCCAGUCCGUCAAGUGUAAAACUAUGUGGCGAUGGGGCCGGACGCAUGUGAGGUAUUAGGAGGUGUACGUGUCUCACGCACGAAGCAAGCCCACUGCUCUAUUCCCGCUUGAGCUUCGCUGGGGCUGAGCUCGAUCUGGCUCAGCUGGGCUGCAGCCACAGGUCACGAGAAAACAUCGCAUGCGAGACUAGUAACCGGCCGAAGCUGAUCUGAACUUUGGCCACGCAGAAGACACCCCUUUUCAUUCCACCGCCCCACAGUCCGUCCCAGAUACAGCGGACUUUAUUGCACAGGCCGAGACUAGGACGUGCACUCCUGGCCACUCCCUCACUUCACCCGGUCCGCACCGACGUUUCGGAUCCACAGGGGACACUGCCGCUCGAACCCACAUUUCAGGGCCGACAGUCUUUCGGGUUCUGGAGUCUCCCGGUCUUGCUUUCUUUAUUCCCUGAAACGUUACGUCGCUCUGGGAUCACCCUAUCUCUUCACACCCUACCUAGUCACUUACCUGCCUGCAGGUAAGCGGGCAGGAGCUCACCCCGGAGACCCAGGAAGCGGAUCCGGAAAUACUUGCUUCGAGAGAUGGAUGAAAAACCACAUUUCCCAGCACGCUCCGUGAGAGAGCUGUCCCUUAGCGGGCUCGAUUGGUCAACACACGAGAAGGACUGCCCCUUCGGAGGCAGCGAUGGCCAAUCACAGGGCAGAGUUUCGAAAACGCAAGGGGGCGUGCCGUUUCCGGAGGCUUUCCCGGCAGCUCCCACGUAAAGGAGCGUGGGAAUCUAGCAGUGCCUCGGGCUCUAGGUCUGGAGAGGCAGUGGGGCGUCGGCCUCUCCUGCUCUUCUCUCCGGGUACGGGAGAUUGUCUAGGAUCGUUAGUCUCUCAGCGAUCUGUCCCGAAGUCAGUGUGUCGACUUGAGGAAAGCAUUCCCCUCCCCCACCCCCACCCCGAGAUGGAGUCCACGCUCCCGACAACCGGGGCCCAGGUAAGACUAGGUCCCUUCUCGGGGUCCCCGUUCCUCUCGAUAUUUUCC